GAGGUUUUGCUCAAGUGGUAGAGUGCUUGCCUAACAAGCAUGAGGCCUUGAGUUCAAAAACCUCA
rnacentral:tRNA from 1 species